UCCUUUGUCGGCCGCGUUCCUCGCGGCGUUUUUUCUGUUUCUUCGAGACGGGCUCAAUUGCUCCCCGCCUGGAGGCGACUGCCUCCUCGGCCUUGGCGUACUUCCGGGCUCGGACCAGCAUUUUGGUGAAGUCGGCCGGGAAGCUCUUCUCGAUGGAGAAGAGGAAUCGGUAAGAGCGAACCCCAGUCUUCAAAGCCGACAUGGCUAUCGACUGGUCUAGCUCGCGAACCUCCUAUAUGGCGGCGGUAAAGCGGUCCAGGUACUCUUUGAGGGACUCCCCCUCCUUCUGCUUGAUGUCCAGGAGGGAGUCUGAUGUCCGUCGCUGGCGCCGGCUGGCAGCAAAGUUGGUGGCGAACUGCCUGCCGAGCUGCUCAAAAGAGGACACCGUGUUCGGCUUCAGUCCAGAAACCAAAGCCGGGCGGUCCCUCGGAGGGUUGCUGGGAAGGCCUUGCAGAGUAUGGCCUCCGAGGACCCUUGUAGGGCCAUGAGGGCCCGAUAACUCUCCAGGUGGUCAA
rnacentral:lncRNA from 1 species